UCCCCGUUACCGGGGCAGUCUGAAUAGAAAAAUACAACUAUUCACAAGGGUUGCGCUCGUUGAUGGACUUAACCAAACAUCUCACGACACGAGCUGACGACGGCCAUGCAUCACCUGUCACAAGGUUCCCAAAGGCACACGCUACUUUCGUAGUGCUUCCUUGGAUGUCAAGCCCUGGUAAGGUUUUUCGUUUAUCAUCGAAUUAAAGAACACGAUCCACCGCUUGUGCGGUCCCCCGUCAAUUCCUUUAUGUUUUAGUCUUGCGACCGUACUCCACAGGCGGGAUACUUAACGCGUUAGCUUCGCUACUGAAGGGGUCGAUACCUCCAACAGCUAGUAUCCAUCGUUUACGGCGUGGACUAC
rnacentral:misc_RNA from 1 species